GCAGCCAAUCAGCACUUCAGCCAAAACCACACAACUUUCAGCUUUGGCAGUCGUCAUGUUUCCUGUUCUGAAUUGAAGCCCUUCUGCUGUUCGAGUAGUAUCAGAGUUUUAUUUAGUUUUUCGCAGCAUAUCUAGCGUUGGAAUAUCAGAGUCUUUCAGUUCUCAGAAUUGAAGCCAUUUUGCUGUUUAAUGCGAUUCUGUGCCACUUCUGAAGCUCAGACAGCGCAACAUCAGCAGAGAUCUCAGAGUUGUGAUGGAGGUUUCUUCUCUUCAGCUCAACACAAGCUGGGAUGUAGAAAUGAACUGCUAGAGCAUCAGAAACCAGAUAGGAAGAAACAACAGGACAGAGAGAAAAAUGGAGGCCAGAAAUGAGACACAAACCAGUGAAACACAAGAGAAAAACAGACUGACACUUGUCAGAUGUGCCAGUAUAGAGAUAAUAAAACCAAGCUUCUCACAUGAUCCAGACGGACCUGUAAACUUUCCUUCAGAUGAAACUUCAGCACGUUCUGAAGAACACACAACAUCCCUGAGACAGCAGCAGCGGCUGAAGACAACACCAUCAUGAUCCCAGACUCCAUCCAUCCACACUACAGUCUGCUCAGACCCUCAGAGACCUGCAGACACUAUCAGCAGCAGGGGCUCAAGCGGAAACAGAGACACUUCUCUUGUUAUAAAACUAAUAAAAAAUAUUAAGGAAAAAAAAGGCA
ensembl:lncRNA